CAAAGAGUAAGAGAGUAAGCAACAUGAUUUUGGCUUGGCAACAUUAAUAGAAUUGCAGAGGAGCUUACUACGACCUAUUAAUAAACGCUUAUACAAAUGCCAUAACUUUAAGGCUUCAUAUUCCCAUCCUGUUGCGGGAGAGUGGCAACGCACUUACCGAAGGAUUGAAGAAAGCCUUGUUGAAGCUGGAUUAUAUAGUAGCCAUCGCCAUUUUAAACCGACUGGAGUAGUAAUUCCAGUUCAGAAAACUCUUAGGCGUUUGGAUGGCCACUAUGUCUUUGUCUAGGGGAACUUCGCAAGAUCUUACUUGUUGUUAUUUAUUGCAAUCUCGGUAUCAGCCGUGCGCGUCAGUGAUAACGAGUUUAAUGAAUCACAUUCAUUGUUACAAAACACUUUUUCAAUAUUAUCUAUUUUAAAAGUAUGAUUCUUAUUUUUUUUGUGGUGUUGCGCACCAUGUAUUAUCAUGCCUACAGAUUAGGUUAAGAUCGCUAAUUUUGACUGAUUUUAAAUACAGUAUUUUGGUUUUAAUUUUUUUUUCCUAAAAAAUUAAAGGUUGGUACAAAGAGGAUUAGAUUAUAAUGAUGUGAUGUAUUUGUCUGAUAAAAUAUAAAAUUUUAAGCAGGUAACAACUUGUUGUAACGGGGGUCCGUAGUAAAUAAAAAGUAGUAAAAUACUACCUCUGUGCAAAAACGUUACUGCCGAGGCGCAUUGAUUUGUUGGAAGUUUAGAGUUUUGGAGACAGUUUAAUGUUUGUUACAAAUAGGAUAGCUUUGCAUGGAAGCAGCAUCCUAAAUGUGAUCUGAAUCUAUUGCAUAAAAUGAGAUUUAAACCUGUGGUAUUUGGUUCGCCAAAUUGGCAGAUUGUAAUUUAGCGCGAAGUCACUCUGAAGUUUGCAAAAUGUAGUUAUCACAGUACAGUAUCUAUUGAAGCAAAUGCGCAAUACCUUUUUAAAGGAAAAUUUAAUUAAACAUAUUGAAUUA